CGUGAACCCGGGAGGCGGAGCUUGCAGUGAGCCGAGAUCCCGCCACUGCACUCCAGCCUGGGCGACAGAGCGAGACUCCGUCUCAAAAAAAAAAAAAAAAAAAAUGGGCUGGGCGUGGUGGUACACACCUGUAAUCCCAGCUACCCAGGAGGCUGAGGCAGGAGGAUUGCUUGAACCCAGGAGGCAGAGGUUGCAGUGAGCCAAGAUCGUGCCAUUGCACUCCAGCCUGGGCGACAAGAGUGAAACCCCAUCUCAAAAAAAAAAAAAAGAAAAAAAAACUAAUAAAUUAUUACUUCAUAUGAAUUCUUGGCACAUGUAAGUACCUGAUAAAUGUUAGAUGUUAUUUUAAGUGUUAGCAAACGAUUCUAGGGAGUUUCCUCUGUGACUUGAGAAUCUGAUUCUGGGUAUCUUAGGCUCCGUUGUUUCUACUCCCUCCUAAAACAACAACUAAAGGAACAAGAUUGCAGACAGCGUGGGAAGCUUUCUCGUGUGACCACCUAGCAGCGGGGAGGAGGCCUGGGAUGUGUGCCUGGAUCCUAGUGCUCUUGUGUGGGGCUUCGGUGGGCUCUGCUGUGAGGUCCUGGUGCUCCUUUUUGUGAUUCAGGUCUCCUUGGUGUACCUGUCUGAAUCUCACCUCCAGCAUCCAUCUGAUUCCUGGCAUAGACUGAACACCACUGUACCACUAUGAUGACCUCUGGUUCUUAACUCAGCUACCUCCCUAAUCCUCUAUAGUGUGUGUGGUGACCUCUGGGUCCCAGCCAAGGGAAGCUAAGAAGGCAUGACUAAGGCCCAUUUACACCUAACCACCAUGAACCAUCAUUUUUAAUUUGCCGAGCCCUGUCCUGCCCUUCCCUUCUCUUCCGUCUUUUCUUUUCUUUUUCUUUCUUUCCUUCCUUCCUUCCUCUCUCUCUCUCCUUCCUUCCUUCCUUCCUUCCUUCCUUCCUUCCUUUCUUUCUUUCUUUCUCUUUCCUUCUCUUUCUUCCUUCCUUCCUUCCUUCCUUCCUUCCUUCCUUCCUUCCCUCCCUCCCUCCCUCCCUCCCUCCCUCCCUCCCUCUUUCUUUCUUUCUUUCUUUCUUUCUUUCUUUCUUUCUUUCUUUCUUUCUUUCUUUCCUUUCUUUCUUUCUUUCUUUCUUUUCUUUCUUUCUUUCUUUCUUUCUUUCUUCUUUUUUGAGAUAGGGUCUCAUUGUGUCACCCAUGCCGGAGUGCAGUGGCAUGAUCAUGCCUCACAGCAACCUCAACCUCCCUGGCUCAAGUAAUUCUUCCACCUCAGCCUCCCGAGUAGCAGGGACUACAGGUGCACACCAUCGCACCUGGCUAAUUUUUGUGUUUUUUUUGGAGAGAUGGGGUUUCUCUAUGUUGCCCAGGCUGGUCUUGAACUCCUGGGCUCAAGCAAUUAGCCCGCCUUGGCCUCCCAAAGUGCUGGGAUUUACAAGCAUGAGCCAUCACACCCAGACUGAAAGAGAAUUUUCUAAGUCACAGACAAAUAAAAACUUUAUUCACUACACUACAGGAAAAACUGAAUUGCCUUUCUAUUCUCUCUUCAGAAAAUGAUAUCCCCAAAUUGGCAUAAUAUGAAGAGUCAAAGACCAUACAGUGAAAAGAUCAGAAAAAAUGGUUUAGGCUGGGCGAGUUGGCUCAUGCUUAUAAUCCCAGCACUUUGGGAGGCCGAGGUGGGCGGAUCACUUGAGGUCAGGAGUUCGAGAGCAGCCUGGCCAACAUGGUGAAACCCUGUCUCUACUAAAAAUACAAAAAUGAGCCGGGCAUGGUGGUGCACACCUGUAAUCUCAGCUAUGUGGGAGGCUGAGGCAGGAGAAUCACUUGAACCUGGAAGGGAGAGGUUGCAGUGAGCUGAGAUCACACCACUGUACUGCAGCCUGGGCAAAAGAGCUGAGAAGACUCUGUCUCAAACAAAAAAAAAAAAAAGAAAGAAAAUGUGGUAUUAGAAAGGUAUGCUAUGAAGUUAAUAAAUAAAAAAAUUAUUUUUCUGUAUUGUAG
rnacentral:lncRNA from 1 species